UAAGCUACAAAGAGCUAACGGCGAAUGCCUUGGCAUCGGGAGGCGAUGAAGGACGCGGCAAGCUGCGAUAAGCUUCGGGGAGCUGUUAACAAGCGUUGAUCCGGAGGUUUCCGAAUGGGGCAACCCGGCAGGAGUCAUAUCCUGUCAUCUGCUGGUGAAUACAUAGUCAGCAGAGGCGAACGCAGGGAACUGAAACAUCUCAGUACCUGCAGGAGAAGAAAUCAACAGAGAUUCCGCCAGUAGUGGCGAGCGAACGCGGAAUAGCCCAAACCAGGCUUCGGCCUGGGGUUGUAGGACCCCAACGUGGGACGUAUCAGUAUAGCGGAACGGUAUGGAAAGGCCGACCAGAGACGGUGAUAGUCCGGUACGCGAAAUGGUGAUGCGCCCUCGGGAGUUCCUGAGUACCACGGGACACGUGAAACCCUGUGGGAAUCCGGGAGGACCAUCUUCCAAGGCUAAAUACUACCCGAUGACCGAUAGUGAACAAGUACCGUGAGGGAAAGGUGAAAAGAACCCCGGGAGGGGAGUGAAAAAGAAACUGAAACCGUUAGCUUACAAGCAGUGGAAGCCCUAUGUCGCAAGACAGGGUGACCGCGUGCCUUUUGCAUAAUGAGUCAACGAGUUACCGUAUGCAGCGAGGUUAAGCCGCGAGGUGGAGCCGCAGCGAAAGCGAGUCUUAAGAGGGCGAUCAGUUGUAUGCGGUAGACCCGAAACCGGGUGAUCUAGCCAUGUCCAGGGUGAAGUCUCGGUAACACGAGAUGGAGGCCCGAACCAGUGUAGGUUGAAAACUGCUUGGAUGAGGUGUGGCUAGGAGUGAAAGGCUAAUCAAACUCGGUAAUAGCUGGUUUUCUCCGAAAUAUAUUUAGGUAUAGCCUCACAUCAUGACUGACGGAGGUAGAGCACUGACAAGGCUAGGGGUCCCACCGGAUUACCAACCCUUAUCAAACUCCGAAUGCCGUCAAGCUUUAGUGUGGGAGUCAGACUGCGGGAGAUAAGUUCCGUAGUCGAGAGGGAAACAGCCCAGACCGUCAGCUAAGGUCCCCAAAUCUAUGCUCAGUGGGAAAGGAGGUGGAACUGUCCAGACAACCAGGAGGUUGGCUUAGAAGCAGCAACCCUUUAAAGAAAGCGUAAUAGCUCACUGGUCUAAUGGAUCUGCGCCGAAAAUUCAACGGGGCUAAGCAUAGUACCGAAGCUACGGAUUCAGAAGUCAGAAUACAGAGGACAGAAACCAGAUGCUCAAAUCGUUUGAGGACUUGGAGGUCUUUCAGCGAGCCUAUAAGAUCUCUUUGGCGAUUCACAAGCACAGCUUGGAAUUUCCCAAAGAAGAGCAAUAUGGACUUGCCGAACAACUCCGACGAGCCAGCAAAUCAGUCUGCGCAAAUAUCGCCGAAGGGUUUGCCAAGCAGCGUUAUUCAAGUCCCGAGUUCAAGCGAUACAUCAUGAUCGCCUUGGGCUCACGUGAUGAGAUGCGUGUCUGGUUGCGAUACUGUCUUGAUCUGGAAUAUCUGCAUGAAGAAACCUGGAAGCAGUGGCGGGAUGAGUAUCAAGAGAUCUCGAAGAUGCUUUCCGGAUUGUACAGGAGCUGGAAAUAGUGCGGCAGUCUGCGCGAAGCGCCACACUAUUCUGACUUCUGUCCUCUGUCUUCUGACUUCUGGAUGGUAGGAGAACAUUGUGGUUGCCUGUGAAGGUGUACCGAAAGGAGCGCUGGAGGCCCCACAAGAGCUUAUGUUGACACGAGUAGCGAAAAACAAGGUGAGAAACCUUGUCGCCGUAAGCCUCAGGUUUCCUGUAGUCAAGUUAAUCUGCUCAGGGUUAGUCGGUCCCUAAGGCGAGGCCGAGAGGCGUAGUCGAUGGGAAACAGGUUAAUAUUCCUGUACCGCUGCAAUGAUGCUAUGGUAAGGGGGGACGGAGAAGGAUAGACCAGCCAGGUGAUGGAAUACCUGGUUUAAGCGUGUAGGCGGAGGACUUAGGCAAAUCCGGGUCCUUGUGAACGCUGAGGCGUGAUGACGAUGCCUUAUAGGCAACAAAGUGGUUGAUUCCCGGCUUCCAGGAAAAGCCUCGUAUCUAGUCAUGGUGGCGACCGUACCGUAAACCGACACAGGUAGGCUGGUAGAGUAUACCAAGGCGCUUGAGAGAACUCUGGUUAAGGAACUCGGCAAAAUAGCACCGUAACUUCGGGAGAAGGUGUGCCUGCAUGGUGAUAAUAAAUACUUGUUUGAGCCUAGUCAGGUUGCAGUGAAAGGGGGGGAGCGACUGUUUACUAAAAACACAGGACUCUGCGAAGUCGAAAGACGAAGUAUAGGGUCUGACGCCUGCCCGGUGCCGGAAGGUUAAGGGGACCUGUCAGCGCAAGCGAAGCAGCGAACCGAAGCCCCGGUAAACGGCGGCCGUAACUAUAACGGUCCUAAGGUAGCGAAAUUCCUUGUCGGGUAAGUUCCGACCUGCACGAAUGGCGUAACGAUUUCCCCACUGUCUCAACCAGAGACUCAGCGAAACUGUAGCACCGGUGAAGAUGCCGGUUACCCGCAACAAGACAGAAAGACCCCGUGAACCUUUACUAUAGCUUGGCAUUGGUUUUUGAGGUGGCAUGUGUAGGAUAGGUGGGAGACGUGGAAAUGGGCACGCCAGUGCUCAUGGAGUCACCCUUGAAAUACCACCCUUGCCUCCUUAGGAAUCUAACCGUGAUCCGUGAUCCGGAUCCGGGACAUUGUCUGGUGGGUAGUUUGACUGGGGCGGUCGCCUCCCAAAGUGUAACGGAGGCGCGCGAUGGUUCCCUCAGGUUGAUUGGAAACCAACCGAAGAGUGUAAAGGCACAAGGGAGCUUGACUGCGAGAGAGACAUCUCGAGCAGGUACGAAAGUAGGUCUUAGUGAUCCGGCGAUUCCGCAUGGAAGGGUCGUCGCUCAACGGAUAAAAGGUACUCCGGGGAUAACAGGCUUAUCUCCCCCAAGAGUCCAUAUCGACGGGGAGGUUUGGCACCUCGAUGUCGGCUCAUCACAUCCUGGGGCUGUAGCAGGUCCCAAGGGUUUGGCUGUUCGCCAAUUAAAGUGGUACGCGAGCUGGGUUUAAAACGUCGUGAGACAGUUUGGUCCUUAUCUGUUGCGGGCGCAGGGUAUUUGAGGAGAUCUUCCCCUAGUACGAGAGGACCGGGGUGGACGAACCGAUGGUGUACCAGUUGUUCCGCCAGGGGCAUUGCUGGGUAGCUAAGUUCGGCAGGGAUAACCGCUGAAAGCAUCUAAGCGGGAAGCCCACUCCAAGAUAAGAUACCCCAUGGCUGUAGUGGCCAUCUGAAGGCACGUGAGAGACUAUCACGUCGAUAGGUCGGGCGUGGACGCGUGGUAACACGUGGAGCUUACCGAUACUAAUGUGCCGUGCGGCUUAUCCA
rnacentral:rRNA from 1 species